rnacentral:rRNA from 1 species
CACGUAGGCACCAAGCGUUAUCCGGAUUUAUUGGGCGUAAAGAGCUCGUAGGCGGUUUGUCGCGUCUGCCGUGAAAGUCCGGGGCUCAACUCCGGAUCUGCGGUGGGUACGGGCAGACUAGAGUGAUGUAGGGGAGACUGGAAUUCCUGGUGUAGCGGUGAAAUGCGCAGAUAUCAGGAGGAACACCGAUGGCGAAGGCGGGUCUCUGGGCCGUAACUGACGCUGAGGAGCGAAAGCAUGGGGAGCGAACAGG